AUCUAGCCCUGAUAGAGCGGAUAUCCUUUUAUGGCGGCGUUCGCCAUAAAAGAUAGGAGUGAAAGCGGGACUUUUG
rnacentral:sRNA from 1 species